rnacentral:rRNA from 1 species
AGCUUGCUCCUUUGACGUUAGCGGCGGACGGGUGAGUAACACGUGGGUAACCUACCUAUAAGACUGGGAUAACUUCGGGAAACCGGAGCUAAUACCGGAUAACAUUUGGAACCGCAUGGUUCUAAAGUGAAAGAUGGUUUUGCUAUCACUUAUAGAUGGACCCGCGCCGUAUUAGCUAGUUGGUAAGGUAACGGCUUACCAAGGCGACGAUACGUAGCCGACCUGAGAGGGUGAUCGGCCACACUGGAACUGAGACACGGUCCAGACUCCUACGGGAGGCAGCAGUAGGGAAUCUUCCGCAAUGGGCGAAAGCCUGACGGAGCAACGCCGCGUGAGUGAUGAAGGGUUUCGGCUCGUAAAACUCUGUUAUUAGGGAAGAACAAACGUGUAAGUAACUGUGCACGUCUUGACGGUACCUAAUCAGAAAGCCACGGCUAACUACGUGCCAGCAGCCGCGGUAAUACGUAGGUGGCAAGCGUUAUCCGGAAUUAUUGGCGCGUAAAGCGCGCGUAGGCGGUUUCUUAAGUCUGAUGUGAAAGCCCACGGCUCAACCGUGGAGGGUCAUUGGAAACUGGGAAACUUGAGUGCAGAAGAGGAAAGUGGAAUUCCAUGUGUAGCGGUGAAAUGCGCAGAGAUAUGGAGGAACACCAGUGGCGAAGGCGACUUUCUGGUCUGUAACUGACGCUGAUGUGCGAAAGCGUGGGGAUCAAACAGGAUUAGAUACCCUGGUAGUCCACGCCGUAAACGAUGAGUGCUAAGUGUUAGGGGGUUUCCGCCCCUUAGUGCUGCAGCUAACGCAUUAAGCACUCCGCCUGGGGAGUACGACCGCAAGGUUGAAACUCAAAGGAAUUGACGGGGACCCGCACAAGCGGUGGAGCAUGUGGUUUAAUUCGAAGCAACGCGAAGAAUCCUUACCAAAUCUUGACAUCCUUUGAAAACUCUAGAGAUAGAGCCUUCCCCUUCGGGGGACAAAGUGACAGGUGGUGCAUGGUUGUCGUCAGCUCGUGUCGUGAGAUGUUGGGUUAAGUCCCGCAACGAGCGCAACCCUUAAGCUUAGUUGCCAUCAUUAAGUUGGGCACUCUAGGUUGACUGCCGGUGACAAACCGGAGGAAGGUGGGGAUGACGUCAAAUCAUCAUGCCCCUUAUGAUUUGGGCUACACACGUGCUACAAUGGACAAUACAAAGGGCAGCUAAAACCGCGAGGUCAUGCAAAUCCCAUAAAGUUGUUCUCAGUUCGGAUUGUAGUCUGCAACUCGACUACAUGAAGCUGGAAUCGCUAGUAAUCGUAGAUCAGCAUGCUACGGUGAAUACGUUCCCGGGUCUUGUACACACCGGCCCGUCACACCACGAGAGUUUGUAACACCCG